rnacentral:rRNA from 1 species
GACGAACGCUGGCGGCGUGCCUAAUACAUGCAAGUCGAACGCAGUGGGGUCGGGUGAGUAACACGUGGGUAACCUCCCAUCAGAGGGGAUAACACUUGGAAACAGGUGCUAAACCGAUACUGAUGGAUGGACCCGCGGUUCAUUAGCUAGUUGGUGAGGUAACGGCUCACCAAGGCCACGAUGCAUAGCCGACCUGAGAGGGGGAUCGGCCAGACUGGGACUGAGACACGGCCCAGACUCAGACGAGAGGCAGCAGUAGGUAAUCUUGGGCAAUGGACGAAAGUCUGACCGAGCAACGCCGCGUGAGUGAAGAAGGUUUUCGGAUCGUAAAACGCUGUUGUUAGAGAAGCGGUAUCUAACCCGAAAGCCCCGGCUAACUACGUGCCAGCAGCCGCGGUAAUAC